rnacentral:rRNA from 1 species
CAAACCAAAGCUGGCGACCGGCGCACGGGUGAGUAACACGAUCCAACCUGCCUCAUACUCGGGGAUAGCCUUUCGAAAGAAAGAUUAAUAUCCGAUAGCAUAUAUUUCCCGCAUGGGUUUUAUAUUAAAGAAAUUCGGUAUGAGAUGGGGAUGCGUUCCAUUAGUUUGUUGGGGGGGUAACGGCCCACCAAGACUACGAUGGAUAGGGGUUCUGAGAGGAAGGUCCCCCACAUUGGAACUGAGACACGGUCCAA